ACUGCUGCAAUUGCAAUGGAUGAUAGUGUUGAUGGUGAAUGUUUGAAUGUGGAUAAUGAUAAGGAGAAGGCAAAAGAUCCAUUAAUGGAUUCCGCUUACCCGUUCUAUAUUUACUCAAAGAAUGAGUGGUUUGAUGUGAUUAAAGAAAAGGAAGGAAAAAAAAGUAAAGCUAGCCAACGGGAAAAAGAUAGAAGUUAGAGGUGUUGAAAGAGCGAAUAUCAAACUGCACGGUGAUUACGUAAAAGUAUUCGAUGAAGUGAAAUACGUUCCUAAAUUUGAAAGAAACUUAAUUUCCUUUCGUAAGUUAAAUUCUUUGGAUUAUGGGUGUUCGA
rnacentral:misc_RNA from 1 species